rnacentral:tRNA from 1 species
GGUGUAGGUCAGUGGUAAAGCAUAUGCUUAGCAUGCAUGAGGCUCUGGGUUCCAUCCCCAGCACC